UACGGAGGGUGCGAGCGUUGUCCGGAAUCACUGGGCGUAAAGGGCGCGUAGGUGGCUUGGUAAGCGUGCGGUGAAAGCUCGGGGCUCAACCCCGAGUCUGCCGUGUGAACUGCCGAGCUUGAGCAUCGUAGAGGCAGGUGGAAUUCCGGGUGUAGCGGUGGAAUGCGUAGAGAUCCGGAAGAACACCGGUGGCGAAGGCGGCCCGCUGGGCGAUUGCUGACACUGAGGCGCGACAGCGUGGGGAGCAAACAGG
rnacentral:rRNA from 1 species